rnacentral:rRNA from 1 species
UAUCUCUGUAGAGUCUGCAUAUCAAUAAGCGGAGGAAAAGAAACUAACUAGGAUUCCCUCAGUAACGGCGAGUGAAGCGGGAAGAGCUCACAUUUGAAAUCUUCAAGGUUCUACCUUGACGAAUUGUAGUUUAAAGAAGUGUUUUCUGUUGGAGUUUUGGUAAAAGUUCUUUGGAAUAGGACAUCAUAGAGGGUGAGAAUCCCGUAUUUGACCAUUAUUUCCAGCUUUGUGAUACACUUUCAAAGAGUCGGAUUGUUUGGGAAUGCAGUCCAAAAUGGGUGGUAAAUUUCAUCUAAAGCUAAAUAUUGGCGAGAGACCGAUAGCGAACAAGUACCGUGAGGGAAAGAUGAAAAGAACUUUGAAAAGAGAGUUAAACAGUACGUGAAAUUGUCAAAAGGGAAGCGUUUGACACCAGUGUUGUUUUCUCGAAAAUCAAUUAAAAAAGGCAGGAUUUUGUGUUGUAUUGACUUUAUCAGCUUUCUGCACUCUUUUCUUGUCUUUUUUUAAUGCACUUUUCGUUUAACAAGUCAACAUCAAUUUCUUUUGUUGUAAAAGGGUCAUUGGAAGGUGGCUUUCUUUUCGGAGAAAGUGUUUAUAGCCUUUGGCCUCUGCAAUCGGAGAGAUUGAGGUCUGCAGCGUAGAUCCUUCGGAGUUAGAUACAUUUGUGCUAAGUUAUAGCCUUUCAUAGACAACUUGCUGACUAUGAUCAGUCAUGUAGCUUACUCGCUUAUGCUAUUUUACCUACGCUUAGGAUGUUGAAGUCAUCGUAUCGCGC